UACGUAGGGAGCAAGCGUUGUCCGGAAUCAUUGGGCGUAAAGCGCGUGUAGGCGGUCCGGUAAGUCCGCUGUGAAAGUCGGGGGCUCAACCCUCGGAUGCCGGUGGAUACUGUCGGGCUUGAGUACGGAAGAGGCGAGUGGAAGUCCUGGUGUAGCGGUGAAAUGCGCAGAUAUCAGGAGGAACACCAAUUGCGAAGGCAGCUCGCUGGGACGUUACUGACGCUGAGACGCGAAAGCGUGGGGAGCAAACAGG
rnacentral:rRNA from 1 species